CUCGUCUCGAUUCGCAUUGACCCGCGAACAAAAGGAACUUUCCGUUCAAAAGCAAAAAUUAUGGCGGGUGGGAAAUUCGGUGGUACUCUCCAUUCAUUCAAGAUUUGUGCUCCUGAGAGCAAAUUCCUGAGCGUGCAAACGCAUGGGCGGUGUUAAAAGAAAUCUUCAGAGCCCGAAGGCGCCCGACUACCUUCGGUAGUUUGGCUUUUCUUUGGGUUCUAUGGGAAUGACGCCGUGAAUGGUUGGCUGUUGUUUAGUGUCAAAGCGAACAAGGGCUAUUUAGUGCAAUAUGCGAACUUGAUGGUUGUUCAUAACUGUCAAGAACCCGAUACCGAUCAUUGACGAUGAG
rnacentral:RNase_P_RNA from 2 species